GCCAGCAGCUAUAUCACUCUGCAACUCACAACUGGCAACCCACUAAAGCUCAGUAGGUGUGAGCCUGAUCAGUACUUGGAUGGGAGAUCUCCUGGGAAAGCUAAGGUUGCUGCUGGAA
rnacentral:rRNA from 1 species